rnacentral:rRNA from 1 species
CGGGUGAGUAAUGCGUGACCAACCUGCCCCAUGCUCCAGAAUAGCUCUUGGAAACGGGUGGUAAUGCUGGAUGCUCCAACUUGACGCAUGUCUUGUUGGGAAAGUGUUUAGUUGCAUGGGAUGGGGUCGCGUCCUAUCAGCUUGUAGGCGGGGUAAUGGCCCACCUAGGCUUCGACGGGUAGCCGGCCUGAGAGGGCGGACGGCCACAUUGGGACUGAGAUACGGCCCAGACUCCUACGGGAGGCAGCAGCC